ncrna:unclassified sequences RAGATH-18 RNA
UCUGUGAAUCGUUACAUCAAAUGAAAGUAGUUCGUAAUAAUGAGAAAUCUAAGUUACAACAAAAUCAGACGGGAUGAAGCAGAAA